rnacentral:rRNA from 1 species
GAGUUUGAUCCUGGCUCAGAGUUAACGCUGGCGGCGUGCCUAACACAUGCAAGUCGAGCGGGGAUAUAUGCUGGAGCGCUUCGGUGUGAAGGGAUAUAUCCUAGCGGCGGACGGGUGAGUAACGCGUGGGGAACCUGCCCUUAAGUUCGGGAUACCAACUCGAAAGGGUUGUUAAUACCGGAUGUGCUGCAUUAGCCGCAUGGCGGAUGUAGUAAAGGGGAGACCCGCUUAAGGAUGGCCCUGCGUUCCAUUAGCUAGUUGGUGGGGUAACGGCCUACCAAGGCGACGAUGGAUAGCCGGCCUGAGAGGGCGACCGGCCACACUGGGACUGAGACACGGCCCAGACUCCUACGGGGGGCAGCAGUGGGGAAUCUUGCACAAUGGGCGGAAGCCUGAUGCAGCGACGCCGCGUGAGGGACGAAGGUCUUCGGAUCGUAAACCUCUGUCCAAAGGGACGAAGGAGUGACGGUACCUUUGGAGGAAGCCCCGGCCAACUACGUGCCAGCAGCCGCGGUAAGACGUAGGGGGCGAGCGUUGUCCGGAAUCAUUGGGCGUAAAGGGCGCGUAGGCGGUGACGUAAGUCAGGCGUGAAAGGCAUCGGCUCAACCGACGCACAUAGCCUGAUACUACGUUGCUAGAGUGCAGGAGAGGAGAGUGGAAUUCCAGGUGUAGCGGUGAAAUGCGUAGAUAUCUGGAAGAACACCAGUGGCGAAGGCGGCUCUCUGGACUGUAACUGACGCUGAGGCGCGAAAGCUGGGGGAGCAAACAGGAUUAGAUACCCUGGUAGUCCCAGCCGUAAACGAUGAACACUAGGUGUAGGGGGUAUCGACCCCUCCUGUGCCGCA